GUUGUGGUGGCCGAGUAGUUAAGGCGAGUGAUUUGAAUAAAAGAUAAUAUCACUUGGUGUUUCACCGCGUAGGUUCAAAUCCUGCCCACAACG